rnacentral:rRNA from 1 species
UACAGGGGGGGCAAGCUUGUUCGGAAUUACUGGGCGUAAAGGGCCAGUAGGCGGCCGACUAAGUCCGACGUGAAAUCCCCAGGCUUAACCUGGGAACUGCGUCGGAUACUGGUUGGCUUGAAUUCGGGAGAGGGAUGCAGAAUUCCAGGUGUAGCGGUGAAAUGCGUAGAUAUCUGGAGGAAUACCGGUGGCGAAGGCGGCAUCCUGGACCGACAUUGACGCUGAACGGCGAAAGCUAAGGGGAGCAAACGGG